CUACUUCCGGCUACCCCGGCUACUCCUGCUCAGCAUGGCUGCUUUGGCGACUCUUCUCUUCAGUGAGUGGGUGUCCGGAGGCUGCACUGCAGCGCAGCCGCUUGGGCGGGCGGCCAGUGGCGACUACAGUGAGUGCUGGGAUGAGGGGACCUGGGGGACCAGAAGCUGGGCUAGGUCCUCACAGAUCUGUUUUUCUCCACACAGGCAGGGACUGGCUGCCAACCCCUCCGGCUACGGGCCCCUUACAGAGCUCCCAGACUGGUCAUAUGCGGGUAAGCGCUGAUCUGACAGUUAACUCCACAGGGGAGAUUUUCACCCAGAGGGAACGCCCCUGGACAGGGAGCUGGGGGUAUCAAGGUGGGGGCGUGUAAAAGUGUUUAACUUUUUAUUUGGAAAACGGAAUUUGGGGAAAGAAGCCCUCUUGUUUAUUUUGUAGACUGCAUUUCGACUAAAGAAGGUAAAGCUAAACAGGAUCUUGGCUUGUGGAGAUAAGCAGAAGAUAAUUCUGACUUGGGGCCGCCAGGGUGGAAGGGGGUGACAAGACUUCUGCGUUUUUCAAGGGGGACAUUUUUUUUAACCAAGAACCACUUUUCUCUGUGGUUAGUGAAUUUUCAGUAUUUGGUACCAAAUGCAGGGAGAGCUCUUUGAAAAGCUGCAGAAAUAAGCGUCUCAGAGGGGUAGAAGAAUGAAGACUAUGGAUGGCAGGCUCCCUUCAGAAAAUUCUUUUACCUUUACUUACAAAAGAGAGACAGAGGGAGAAUGGAUAUUAGCCCUAGAAAGGAGGACCUUAGAGAAGUUGAAGCUACUCCCCGUUCUCCUUAUGAGACUCCAGUGUACAAGUAGGAAAUUUGAGGCCUACAGAAGUGAAUUGCACAUGAUCAUACAGCUAGGUAGUAGCAAAGCCAAGACUAGAACAUAGGCCAGUCCUCCUUGACAACACAGAGAUGUGAAUAUUUAAUAUCCUAUUGUUGAUCUCUAGGAGUAUGAUCCUGCUUAAUUGGAUAAUUGGUGACUGAGGAAGAUGGUGAAGAUUUUUUCUACUCGUUAUUUACUGUAAGAAGCCUGGCAUCUCCUUGUAGUAGUAUGGACUAUUGGAAAGAUUCUGGAAUUACAUAUGACUGCUUCUUUUUUUUUUUUUUUUUUUGAGAUGGGGUCUUGCCCUGUCACCCAGGCUGAAGUGCAGUGGCAUGAUCAUUGCUCACUGCAGCCUUGAUCUCCUGGGCUCAAGCAGUCCUCCCACCUCAGCCCCCUAAGUAGGUGGGACCACAGACACACACCUGGCUAAUUUUUUUUUUUUUUAACUUUUAGUAGAGACAGGGUCUUGCUAUGUUGCCCAAGCUGGUCUUGAACUCCUGGCUAAUUUUUUUUUUUUAACUUUAGUAGAGACAGGGUCUUGCUAUGUUGCCCAAGCUGGUCUUGAACUCCUUAGCUCAAGUGAUCCACCUCAGCCUCCCAAAGUGCUGGGAUUACAGGCAUGAGCCACCGCGCCCAGCCUAUGGACCUUAUUCUUAAUCCAGGCUUUCCUUCUCGCUAAGUCUGUGGUCUUGGACAAAUUACUUAAUUUUAUCUUAGUCUCAGUUUCCAUAUCUGUAAAAGAAUACCUAACUCAUGUGGUUCUUAUAAGGAUAAAAUGAAACAACCAAUGUAAAACAUGUGGCAUACACAAUAUUGGUUCCCCUUCCUGGUAAAUAACACCUCUUCUGUGUCUUGCCUUCAAACUUUUGGGCACUCUGUUUCUUUCUUUGCAGAAAGUAAACUACUUGGGUCAGAUACUGCAUCUUUUCAGCAAGUCAGAAGAUAUUUAUGGAUUUUUAUUAACAUGCUUAUGUGCUACACUAUACUGUGAAUAGCAAAAGCUAGCGACACAGUCCCUGACCCAAAGAACUUAAAGUCUAACUGGGACAAAGCAUGGAUGUUUUAAAAAUUAAGUAAUAGUAUUCAGGUUUCAAUACUCUGCCCCUUUCCAAAAGGACCUGAGGUAGCUAAAUAACACUU
rnacentral:sRNA from 1 species